AACGAACGCUGGCGGCAUGCCUAACACAUGCAAGUCGAACGGGAUCCUAGCUUGCUAGGUGAGAGUGGCGGACGGGUGAGUAACACGUGGGAAUCUGCCUUUUGGUUCGGGAUAACCGCGGGAAACUGCGGCUAAUACCAAAUGCCCUCGAGAGAGGAAAGAUUUAUCGCCAGAAGAGGAGCCCGCGUCCGAUUAGGUAGUUGGUGGGGUAAAGGCCUACCAAGCCGACGAUCGGUAGCUGGUCUGAGAGGAUGAUCAGCCACACUGGGACUGAGAUACGGCCCAGACUCCUACGGGAGGCAGCAGUGGGGAAUAUUGGACAAUGGGGGCAACCCUGAUCCAGCAAUGCCGCGUGAGUGAUGAAGGCCUUAGGGUUGUAAAGCUCUUUGCCAGGGAAGAUGAUGACUGUACCUGGAGAAUAAGCCCCGGCUAACUUCGUGCCAGCAGCCGCGGUAAU
rnacentral:rRNA from 1 species